UUUAGAGACCACCUCACUAAUCAAAGUUUUUCCCUUACUCUUUCCAGCCAUUUUUCUUUGUAACCACAACACCAAUUUUUGGAUUAUACAUACAUCUGUUUGGUACGUCAGGAGGUUUUUUACCCUGCGGGACAGUAGACCUUUGUGAUAUCCUGGGAGAAGGAAAGAUUUGCCUUCCUUUUAUAAGUGGUAGAAAUAGCUACUGGGAAAGAGAAACAGUGUGGUACUUCAACUGUUGACCUCAGACAAGUCAUUUUAAGGAAACAAUACACCUGGCCUGAAGAUUGUCUGAAGCCCCUGGCAAGGUGGUGCAGGCUGCAUUUGGAGUAGCUCAGCUUGGAAGCCAGUCAGAUUGUGGCAGCAACCGACUAAAGAAUGUUGUUCUGUAGAACCGAUGGGAACAGAAAGUGACUCUAAACUCUGAUUCUCUGAGGAAAGAGAAAGUAUGUUUGUGCACACUAUGCCAGUGAGGGGCCUGCUCUGUUUGGUGCAAAGUUGUUAAAACAACAUUUUUGGAGCUGAUCAUAACUUGUUGGUGGUCCUUCUCUUAGCAAAUUAAUUGUGUCAUACUUUUUCAAGAUAACUUGCCUCAUGCUGAUUGCUUAUCUUUCUGUGCAUAAUUUUCCUCACAUAUAUUUUCACAUGAUGGUGAGGUAUUUGGAUAGCAUUUUAUGCUUUUUACCAUGUUUUGCAGAUGUUAUGUCAGAUUCAUAGCAACCCCAGGAAACGUAUCUUACAGAAUUGAUCUGGAAGGAUGUGCACUUGUCAGAAACAGCACUUCAUUUUAUUCCCUUGUUUAUGAGAGACAUAAACUAGCUCACUGUAUUCAGAAGAAA